UUCCCGGCAUUUCAUUGGCUAAGGUUCCUCCCUUCCCCUUGAGCUAAUUGGAGGAGCCUGAGCGUGGAGGGGAUGGAAUCCCGUCAAGGCGCGGUGGGGGGCGAUGAGUGAGUGCGCGCAAGGUUGGAGUUGCUUGCCUUAUGGAUCUGCAUUUAUUCCCCGCCGGUCACCUGCAGGGAUGCUGUCAGCAGAUACGGGAAUGCUUCACCCUGAAAGGGACUGAUGUCUGGCAACAUUGGUCUAAUGUAAGCAUAUGAGAUGUGGUACUCCUCCGGAGAUGUUGGGAGCUUUUUGUCGCCUUAUGAACUUUGGUACUUGGUUCACAAUGGAUCCAGGAGAGUUCUAAGUGGCAGGUAGUGUAAACAUCCUACACUCUCAGCUGUGGAAAAGAAGAAAGCUGGGAGAAGGCUGUUUACUCUCUCUGGCUUGGAAAGCAGCUGAGGAGGACAAGCCUGGAGAUCUUGAAAGGGUUUUGGUGGUGGUUGGUGGUUUCUGCUUUUGAAUUCAUAUUUUUCUUACAUGGCUGCAAGUUUGUGUAUUGAUCACAAAUCAAAUGUCCUUGUGAGAAGCUUUAAUUAGAAAAUAGUUUUUAAAACAAGACUGCAUUGUAAGGUGGGGGAGUAGUUGCACACAAAGCACAUCCUUGAUAGCUUUAUCAAAGACAGCACAAACCAGAAAGUGAAUGUUGGAUAAAUGGACUGAUUUUCAUUCAUGGGAAUUCCCCAUCUGAAAUGGAAUAAAAUUAGCAUUGAGGUAAAGGGAUGUGACUGAGAGAGGAAUGUUCUUAGAAUCCUUGUAACUUAAUACCAUUGACUAUGCAGCUGACAAGAAAAUUAUGGGGCUUAAUUAUUAAAAUUUUCAAAACUGCUGGUAAAAUGUGAUGGAAAAUUUUGUAACAGACUUGACAAAAAAUUGCUUGAAAAUAUGAACAUAAAGAAGAUAUUUCCUCUAUAACGCUUCUAUUAAACUGUAAUGAAAAAUGGCCUGAAAACCAAUAAAAUUUUGUCAAAUA